rnacentral:rRNA from 1 species
AUACGUAGGGUGCGAGCGUUGUCCGGAAUUACUGGGCGUAAAGAGCUCGUAGGUGGUUUGUCGCGUCGUCUGUGAAAUUCCGGGGCUUAACUCCGGGCGUGCAGGCGAUACGGGCCUAACUUGAGUACUGUAGGGGAGACUGGAAUUCCUGGUGUAGCGGUGAAAUGCGCAGAUAUCAGGAGGAACACCGGUGGCGAAGGCGGGUCUCUGGGCAGUAACUGACGCUGAGGAGCGAAAGCAUGGGUAGCGAACAGGAUUAGAUACCCUGGUAGUCCAUGCCGUAAACGGUGGGCGCUAGGUGUAGGGGUCUUCCACGACUUCUGUGCCGUAGCUAACGCAUUAAGCGCCCCGCCUGGGGAGUACGGCCGCAAGGCUAAAACUCAAAGGAAUUGACGGGG